CCUACGGUAGGCUGCAGUGAGGAAUAUUGGUCAAUGGCCGGAAGGCUGAACCAGCCAAGCCGCGUGAAGGACGAAGGUGCCAAGCAUUGUAAACUUCUUUUGUCAAGGGACAAAAUCAGGCUCGAGAGCCUGACCGAGGGUACUUGAAGAAAAAGCAUCGUCUAACUCCGUGCCAGCAGCCGCGGUAAUACGGAGGAUGCGAUCGUUAGCCGGAUUUAUUGGGUUUAAAGGGUGCGUAGGCGGGCUGUUAAGUCAGCGGUAAAAGCCCGGGGCUCAACCCCGGCGAGCCGUUGAACCUGGCUGUCUUGAGAUGUCGAGAGGUAUGCGGAAUGCGCAGUGUAGCGGUGAAAUGCUUAGAUAUUGCGCAGAACUCCGAUUGCGAAGGCAGCAUACCGGCGGCGAUCUGACGCUGAGGCACGAAAGCGUGGGUAGCGAACAGGAUUAGAUACCCUGGUAGUC
rnacentral:rRNA from 1 species